UACAGAGGGUGCGAGCGUUAAUCGGAAUUACUGGGCGUAAAGCGCACGUAGGUGGCGACGUAAGUCGGGUGUGAAAGCCCCGGGCUCAACCUGGGAAUUGCAUUCGAGACUGCAUUGCUGGAGUGCGGCAGAGGUGGAUGGAAUUCCGCGUGUAGCAGUGAAAUGCGUAGAUAUGCGGAGGAACACCGAUGGCGAAGGCAAUCCCCUGGGCCUGCACUGACGCUCAUGCACGAAAGCGUGGGGAGCAAACAGG
rnacentral:rRNA from 1 species